rnacentral:lncRNA from 1 species
UUUAAGUUUUCCCAGUGUAGAUUUUGGUCUAGCCCCCCUCAUUUCACGCUUUUAUCUUAACUGAUUAGAUCUUAGAGUCCCUAUCGGCGUGUUUUUCUUAGAAACACAUAUGUGCUAUCGAUAGAGUCGACCGUUAGACUUUAAUAGCUUUCUGGUGAAUGAUAUGGGCCUUGCAUCCCAUAAGUCAUCUUAAGUAUUAGGUUCGCUAAGCCCUUUUACGAGUGGUAAGGAAAUCUGUUCUUGAAUAUCUCUCACAGUUUCCCAUAAUUUUGAUUGGUUAAAACCCCACCACAAACAAAGGACGCCAAAGGUUCAUAAAAACCACAAAUUCUCAAAAUUCUGCAUCAUUUGUGAGUUGAGUUAAUAUAGUCAUUAUGUGAGAUCAAGUUUGUUCGUGUAUUGUGGGCCCCGCCGAUUAGGCAGGGUCCACCUUUCACCUUCCACCUUCCACCUAUGCAUUAUGUUGUCCAGCUGCUAUUUUAUGAACACUGUUAAAUACUAUUAUUCUUUCGACUGUGUCGUAAAGUUGAAUUUCUUCAUGGCCAUCUUCCACACCUUGAGAGCCUGCCGGCUUACAAAGGGCCAUCCUACCCUCUAACAGAUGUUUUAAGUAAGUCACUCAUCUUUUACUUAUUGAAGAAAUUAGUAGAGACGCCUUUGUUAUGUCCAGGGCAAGGACAAUUUUGUGUUCUUUCGUGAAAUAAGUUCAAUGACCUAAAGUUUUCGCCCAGUUUGUGAUAGUGACAUUCUGAAAAGUAGGUCAUACUUUUAGUAUGAAGUUGAUGAUUAUCUUUUUAUUUUUAAAUGGGUGAUCAUUUAAACUAUAAACAUUUACAUUAUGUAGAUAUUUUUCUGAGUAUUAUUAGAGUGUUAUUAAGUAUUGUUAGAUAGGUAUAAAUAUAAACAAAGAGCUCUUUCUUUUUUUGUUGUAAGUGAACGGUAAAAUUUCUAGUUUUUAUUUAGAGUAUGGAUUUUUUAUUUUUUCGAGUAACUACAGUUCUUUUUUUUUGAGUUAAUAAUUAAUAGUUAUAUUCGUUCACUUACAUUCCAUUUUUUAGUAUUACUGUGUUGGUGAAUACACCAAUUUAUAUGCAGUGAUUGUUAUGUCGCCAACUUUUGUGUUAUAGAUUAACGGUAUUUUUUUGGUUUCUUAAUUUUGUUGUUGGCGAUCUUAUACUGCGUAUACACUGUACGUAUUGUGUAAAUAUUGAGAUUUCGUAGAGUAUUUUAAUAAAUGUUACAUUGAAACUUACGAUGUCGUAUUUUAUUUAAUUUUUUUACAGCUCAAGAUUAGUACAUUGAUGUCUUGUCGUAGCAUUCUUGCUAAUUUGUUAUUGUUGAGUUAUGUUUCGUUAAUUAUUGUUCCUUUGAGUAUUUUUUGGUCAAAAUACCUGGCGCCCUAUAUUUUCGUUUGAGUAUUAAGUAUUUCCGUUUCCUUAGAGUCCAAGUGUCAAACCAUCAGUUAAUAUUAUCUAUUUACCUUUUGUCUAUCUUCGUUUCAUUAGCUCUAUUCGCAUACCAUUGUUUAUUCAUUUAACACCUUUCAUUGUAACAGAAGCCCAACACAAAGAACCAUGCCCACAUCUCUUCCGACUGAGCAACGUGGCCUUUGUUUCGUCAAUGUAAACGAUUGGACCUUUCCAUCUUCGGUCAUUCCUUAUUCCAUCCAAGGAUAAUAUCGUCCUGAUCCUUCUGGUUCAGCCUUCAUGACCUCGAGUCCAUCCGAUCGUUAUACAAAUUGGCGCCCUCUCGUGGAGCCUUAUACAAAUUACGUGGGACUUCUUCUGUUACCUAUGGUUGCCUUAUACAUAAUUUCGUAGAGCUUUGUCAAUUGCCUUUUCACGGGCUAUAUAUAUUUUCUUGUCUAUGCGUGAAGCAUGAUUUUCUUUUUUAUCAUGUUCCUAUUAGACCUGAUUUUCUUUUUUUUGUUCAAGUUUGGCUAAUUUGCAGCUAUUUUUAUUGACAAUAUAUUUUCGUGUUAUUAUUUGCUAAUAGAUAAUAAUA